GACGAACGCUGGCGGCGUGCUUAACACAUGCAAGUCGAACGGUAAGGCCCUUCGGGGUACACGAGUGGCGAACGGGUGAGUAACACGUGGGUGAUCUGCCCUGCACUUCGGGAUAAGCCUGGGAAACUGGGUCUAAUACCGGAUAGGACUCCUGGCUUCUGGGUUGGGGGGGGAAAGCUUUUGCGGUGUGGGAUGGGCCCGCGGCCUAUCAGCUUGUUGGUGGGGUAAUGGCCUACCAAGGCGACGACGGGUAGCCGGCCUGAGAGGGUGACCGGUCACACUGGGACUGAGAUACGGCCCAGACUCCUACGGGAGGCAGCAGUGGGGAAUAUUGCACAAUGGGCGCAAGCCUGAUGCAGCGACGCCGCGUGAGGGAUGACGGCCUUCGGGUUGUAAACCUCUUUCAGCUAUGACGAAGCGCAAGUGACGGUAGUAGCAGAAGAAGGACCGGCCAACUACGUGCCAGCCGCCGCCGUAACAC
rnacentral:rRNA from 1 species